rnacentral:antisense_RNA from 1 species
AAAACUGAGGAAGAAAACUGACAAGGUUUUCAAGGGAAUUUCCAGGUCACCCAGAGAACUCGCCUGGCCUUGUUCUACUUCCUACAAGUCUCUAAGCACUUCAUGCUUUACUGGAAUCUUGUAAAUACAAAAAAAAAAAAAAAAAAAAAAAAAAAAGACACACAACAAGUCAACAAUGUAACAAUGUUUGGCAUCACUAAAAAGAUGGUACUUUGGUGAAAGGUAGAAAUUGGAAAAAUAAAGCUCAGGACAACCUUCAAGUUUUUCUCUAUUCAUGCUACCCUCUUUUUUUGGUAACCACAGUUAAUUAAGAGUUAUAAGCAUAAAACAGUGUUUCUUUCAAGUGGCAUGCUUAUGUGGGGGAAGAAAAGAUGAAAGGGAGGCAGCUCAGUGGAGAAGGAGCAUAUUGCUAAUCAAAAAUGAAAUUUCUCCAUCAGGCUGAGAAUCUAUGAUGGCCAGUGAGCUGGUAUGAUUCAUACGAAGUUCCAUGUCUCACUUAUCUCUCCAAAUCAUGCAAACUAACUAGAAAGAUGAACAGUGUCCCUUGAAAUGCACAAGGCUUCCUCUCUCCAGAGGGUGAAACACUCACCUAGUGUGUCCUUCAGGUUCUUCACGAGGGAGCCCUUCUUCAGGCUGUUCUUCCGCUCCACGUAGUUGGACGGCACAUAGCCCGUCCUGUUGGCCGCGUUCCUCACCCGCCACCACGUCUUGGAGUCGUCCAGCAACCACAGCCGCUCGUUCUUCUUGAUGUCCAGCUCCUGGUCCUGCUGGGCGGUGUAGUCCCACUUGGCUAUCACAAUAACUUCUUCUGUCAUCUUUCAUGGAGUCCUUCUGCC